UAUUCAAAUUUAUGAUUCAACUUCGUUGAUCGUUAUUUUGAAUUAUUCUGUGUCGUUAUAAUACAACAAUUGAAAGGCUGGUGAUUCAUUAUUCGUUCUGUUGACUGGGAAUUCGCGUUGCUUCCUCAAAGCUUCAAUUAACCAAAAGUUCGUGUUCUUCGUCUAAGUUUAGGACAGCUUUACGAUACCAAGCUUUCUAAACAACCUCCUAUAUCAACAGUCAACAAACGUACAAAAAACAGCGUCAGCUACACAUCUACAAUUCGUAAGCUUGUAAGGGCAGCAACUCCCUCUGCGAUAUCACAGGCUCAUAGCCCUAUGACAUCUCAGUGAUGAAGCAUGUUCGAAACAGAAAGUGACAAAUCAGUGUCUCUAGCAGUGAUUUUGUAGCAGCAAAAGCCGACAAAUGUGCAUUUGCAAAUUUCAGCACUUAAUUUUUGUACUAUCAAGCUAGGAGACAUAUAACAGAUUUUUUUCGCGAACCCGCCAAAAGAGCUUCAAGGACUCCAAAAGGUCUGCGGACCCCACUUUGGGAAGUACAGAGCUAGUCGUUUCCUACUUUCCUAAAUAAGACGUUUUGCAAGAACUGCUUCUAUUUAUAAUUAUUCUAGGAUAUAAAAUUGAGUGCAAAAUAUUUCCAAUCACUAACUAAACGAACGUCAAAGUUUUGCGAAAACUGCUUCCAAUGCCAUUAUUUUGGAAAAUAAAAUUUAUUAAAAGAUGUUUGUUUUAUAAAACUAAUGCCACAUAUUAUGUAUCACUUUUACUGUGAUUAUCUAUUGUUUAAACUUGAUAGUAGUAGAAACGUUUGCUCAUAUUAAAGUUUUAUAUUUCGAAUUUUAUUUAUUUUUUAUUUGACGGAGAUUUUAUUUAUGUGAUCGCUGUUUCUUUAAUAUUAUUUUAGUUCUAAAUAAACUCCGUGAGUUUGUUAAAUUUAAACAAACAUAUGAAGAAAGACUAUAUAUUCUCAAUACAAAUAGCAGAGAAAAUCAGUUUGUUCGCUGUGUAAGAGGUAGCUUAUCGAAGAUUUAAAACAUUUUCAACCCAAACUCAGUAUAUCUAGUUUUGAGAAAAAUAUUUUAACACCUAUAAGUCAAUAUGCGGAUAUUACUUGUAUCGAUCAUGCUGUCUGCUGCUGUAAUGUUGAUGUUACUGGAUGGCACAUACGGACGAAAAGAUCUAUGGAGUGUGAACGAAAAAUGUACAACAGAUAAAGACUGUAAUGAUGGCAGACUUUGCGAAGCAGGAGUUUGUUAUUAUGAAGG